GGUUUCCCCUUGCUCGAGCGACCCAGAGCCCGGAGAGCGUCCCGGGAGCUUGGUUGGGACUCGCCGCGACCGUAGGCACCGAUUUCACCUUUGUUUUGAUCUUGUAUGCCAUGAAUUUGAGCUCACCGUCGCCAUUUUUCUUCCCCAGUCCGCCUCGCUCGUGGCCGCGCUGCUCGGAUCACUUUCGAACGCCACGAACGUCUUCAACGGAACCGCAGU
rnacentral:lncRNA from 1 species